rnacentral:rRNA from 1 species
GUAGUCUCGCACAGAUGCAUAUCAAUAAGCGGAGGAAAAGAGGGCUACUACCUACGCUUAGGAUGUUGACGAGACUGUCGAUCUCACCUAUACAUGACUCUGUGCAUAUCAAUAAGCGGAGGAAAAGAAACUAACAAGGAUUCCCCUAGUAACGGCGAGUGAAGCGGGAAGAGCUCAAAUUUGAAAUCUUAAAGGGUUUCCCUUUACGAAUUGUAGUUUAAAGGAAGUGUUUUCUGUUGAGGUUUUGGUAAAAGUUCUUUGGAAUAGGACAUCAUAGAGGGUGAGAAUCCCGUAUUUGACCUUUACUUUCAACUUUGUGAUACACUUUCAAAGAGUCAGAUUGUUUGGGAAUGCAGUUCAAGAUGGGUGGUAAAUUUCAUCUAAAGCUAAAUAUUGGCGAGAGACCGAUAGCGAACAAGUACCGUGAGGGAAAGAUGAAAAGAACUUUGAAAAGAGAGUUAAACAGUACGUGAAAUUGUCAAAAGGGAAGCGUUUGACACCAGUGCUGUUUUUCUGAAAAUCAAUUAAAGAACUGUUUAUGCUAAGUUGUUUAGACUUUAUCAGCUAACUGUUUAGUUUUGAGCUUUUCUUUAAUGCACUUUUCAGUUAACAAGUCAACAUCAAUUUCUUUUGCUGUAAAAAAGCUUGAGGAAGGUGGCUUGAGAUUCGUCUUAAGUGUUUAUAGCCUCUUGCCUAUGCAGUCGGAGAGAUUGAGGUCUGCAGCGUAGAUCCUUCGGGGCUAAAUGCAUUUGUGCUAAGUUAUAGCAUUUUAUAGACAACUUGUUGACUAUGAUUUGUCUUGUAGCUUACUCGCUUAUGUUAUUUUACCUACGCUUAGGAUGUUGAUCUGUAGUGCGUGCGC